CAACUUCAAAAACGUACUUCAUGGCAUCCUUUUUGAUCAGAUUUUUGAUCGUCAGGUCACCUGGUAUCAAAAGCGGGAAAACAAAAUCAAACAGCACAUCAAGGAUAUAUUGGUACAGGGAAAAGAGGCAAACUGGAAUUAAUAUAUUCCGACAGCUACGACGGGGGGUACUGUGAUGACAUCUGCCGUCCAAAAUCAUAAAUGGCAUUCCCCACCCCC